CGAAUGCUGACAUAAGUAACGAUAAAGCGGGUGAAAAGCCCGCUCGCCGGAAGACCAAGGGUUCCUGUCCAACGUUAAUCGGGGCAGGGUGAGUCGACCCCUAAGGCGAGGCCGAAAGGCGUAGUCGAUGGGAAACAGGUUAAUAUUCCUGUACUUGGUGUUACUGCGAAGGGGGGACGGAGAAGGCUAUGUUGGCCGGGCGACGGUUGUCCCGGUUUAAGCGUGUAGGCUGGUUUUCCAGGCAAAUCCGGAAAAUCAAGGCUGAGGCGUGAUGACGAGGCACUACGGUGCUGAAGCAACAAAUGCCCUGCUUCCAGGAAAAGCCUCUAAGCAUCAGGUAACAUCAAAUCGUACCCCAAACCGACACAGGUGGUCAGGUAGAGAAUACCAAGGCGCUUGAGAGAACUCGGGUGAAGGAACUAGGCAAAAUGGUGCCGUAACUUCGGGAGAAGGCACGCUGAUACGUAGGUGAAGUCCCUUGCGG
rnacentral:rRNA from 1 species